rnacentral:rRNA from 1 species
UACGUAGGUGACAAGCGUUGUCCGGAUUUACUGGGCGUAAAGAGCGCGCAGGCGGUCGAUCAAGUCGAGUGUGAAAGCCCCCGGCUCAACUGGGGAGGGUCAUUCGAUACUGAUCGACUCGAAGGCAGGAGAGGGUAGUGGAAUUCCCGGUGUAGUGGUGAAAUGCGUAGAGAUCGGGAGGAACACCCGUGGCGAAGGCGGCCAACUGGGCCGGACCUGACGCUGAGGCGCGAAGGCGUGGGGAGCGAACGGG